UGCUGAGCAGCCCAGCACCGGGCAGGAUGAGGACUCCGGUAAAUGGAGCAACACGGAGCAGAGACACGAAGGUUGGAGGAGAGCGCUCAGAUCAGCACCGCCAGCCCAUCCCCGGCCGUGCACACUGCCCACGUCCCGCAGCGUCACUCGGAAGGUUUCCUUUUUGUUCCAUGGAUCCGUUCAGUUCCCUGCUUUGUUUUUAAAGAGAAAAAAAAAGAGAAAAUCCUGUCAUUAAUAAAUAAAUAAAUAACAAGAAUAAAAAGCCUCC
ensembl:lncRNA